CGCAGAGUCUGUAGGUGAUUGGUACUUCGACCGAUCCAACAAUGUUAAAGACAUUGACUGUCCUUACCCAUGCGACAAAACAUGUCACCAUCUGAUUUUCCAAUGAGUAAAUCUUUGUGUUACCUGAUAAUCUAUUAAAAUAAGCUUUAUGCAGUGUUGAUCAAACAGCUUACUUCAAAGAUUUGAUCUCCUCUCCUUAGUGCUUCUUUGGUCCCUCUAGUGUUUGACAAAACUCUUACCUCAGAUUCUCUAGCUUAGUAGGUAUAGAGUCAGAAACCUUAUUCUUUUCAUACCUCUUUAAGUUAUUUAUAACCAUUUGCUUCAAAAUCUCGAAUCUAAAGUUAGUGACAAAAUCCAUGUCAUUACAAAGAAUAGAAUAUCAAAAUGAAAAUGAAUAAAAGGUAAAGAACAUAUUCCUUUAUUCAUUGGACUCUAUUACAAAACGUCCGAAUCUCAAAAACAGAUCAUGAGCUCUGCUUUUCAUGUCAAAAGUCUAAACCUUUGUUCUGUUCUGUGAGGUCUUCCUAUUGUACAUAGCACUUUAUCUUUCACCUUUGUGUACCACAGUGAAUCGCACGUUAGGGUUACACGUUGCUAUUUCCAUCAUCCAUGUAACAACUGCUGAUUAAGCUCGUAAAUCUCAUAAAAACCCAUUAAAAACAUCAAAAACCCUAAAAGUUAAGCAAUUACUUGAACCAAAAGCAAGAGGACAAAAGUGAAAAAAAAAAAAAAACCUAAAAAAGAGGGGAAAGAUAUAUUAAGAAGCUAAUUAGCUUGACGUGACGAAGAAGCUAACGCUACAGCUUGUGCCCACACCUUGAGUCUCGCCUUAACCUCCUUCGGGUCAUCACCGGGGCUCGAGAUGCGCCACGUGGCGAUCGGAGAGUUGCUGCCACUACUAGUCUGAGUAUCGAAAUUCGACCCGGCUGACACAGAGAUCCGACCCGGAACCUCUAAGUCGAACCCGAGAUCUCUACAAGCUUUCACUUCCUCUAGCCCCAUCCUCAGCGACUUCUCUCCUCCUUUAGCUCUCGUUAACACCGUUAACCCCAAUCCACCACCGCCGUCACUCUCUCCGUCAGCGCCGUUAAAGCCGUGACCUUUCUUCUUCUUCUCCCUGAGCACCCUCCUCUGCCUCCGUGAGCUACUACUCUUACCGCCGUCUCUGCUACUCUCGUUCGCGUCUAUAUCUCCGGUGACUGUGUUUUUUCUUCUCCGGUGAGUAAAUCUUUGUGUUACCUGAUAAUCUAUUAAAAUAAGCUUUAUGCAGUGUUGAUCAAACAGCUUACUUCAAAGAUUUGAUCUCCUCUCCUUAGUGCUUCUUUGGUCCCUCUAGUGUUUGACAAAACUCUUACCUCAGAUUCUCUAGCUUAGUAGGUAUAGAGUCAGAAACCUUAUUCUUUUCAUACCUCUUUAAGUUAUUUAUA
rnacentral:lncRNA from 1 species